AUGGAGCAAUCAACGGCGGCAAGUCCAUGGCUGCUGCUCCUCUGCCUCCUCGUCGCCGCCGGCACCGGCGGCGUACUGCAGGCUCGCGCCCAGCUUGACAGCAAAGGUUUCAUAAGCGUAGACUGCGGACUACCGGGGAAGGCAAGCUACGUGGACGGCGGCACAAAGCUAUCCUACGUCUCCGACGCCGGAUUCAUCGAUGAUACCGCCGGCGCCAACCACAACAUCUCCGGCCAGUACAUUCGACCGCAGCUCUCACAGGGCUACCAGAACGUGCGCAGCUUCCCUGAUGGCACGCGCAACUGCUACACACUCCGGUCCCUCGUGUCCGGUCGCAAGUACCUCGUCCGCGCGGCAUUCUUGUAUGGGGACUACGACGGCCUUGGCAGGCCGCCUAUCUUCGACCUCCAUCUCGGUGUUAACUACUGGCAGACUGUCAAUGUCUCGACACCGGGCUUCGAGGUGACGGCCGAGGCCAUCGUCGUGGUGCCAGAUGACUUCGUGCAGGUCUGCCUGGUGAACACAGGCGCAGGCACGCCGUUCGUCUCCGCGCUGGAGCUGAGGCCGCUGAAGAUGAAGUUCUACCCGCAGGCGAACUUGACGCAGGGCCUCGUCCUCGACGUCCGGCUCAACCUCGGCCCGGCGGACGUGACCGACAUCGUUAGGUACCCUGAAGAUCCACAUGACCGAGUAUGGAUCCCUUGGGCUGACCCGAAAGAGUGGACGGAGAUAUCAACGACGAAGCAGGUGGACAGCGACUACGACGACUUCGAGGUACCGACGGCCGUGAUGCAGACUGCGCUCACGCCGCUGAACGCUUCCAUGAAGCUAGAGCUCACCUGGGACCCCGUGCCUCAGCCUCACGACCUGUCACCAGGAUAUUUCAUCAUCAUGCACUUCUCUGAGCUGCAGCUCCUCCCGAGCAACGCCCUGCGCCAGUUUGACAUCAACAUCAACGGCGUGAGGUUGUCCGAUGACAUUAGGCUAUUCUACCUCGGGGUCGGUGUCAUCUACAAUGAAAAUCCCUACCGGGACGGUAACUACAACAUCUCCAUCAACGCCACCGCCAACUCGACAUUGCCGCCGAUCCUCAACGCCCUCGAGUUGUUCUCCAUCAUGUCGACGACAAACUUUGGCACGGACUCCAGGGAUGUAUCUGCCAUCACGACGAUGAAGGCGAAGUAUCAUGUGCAGAGAAACUGGAUGGGUGACCCGUGCUCUCCCAAGAUUAUGGCCUGGGAAAAGUUGAUGUGCAGCUACGACAUUGGCACCCGUCCAAGGAUCAGAAGCGUAAACCUGUCUUCUAGUGGUCUGAAUGGUGACAUAUCGUCGUCUUUCGCGAAUCUAAAGGCUCUCCAGUACUUGGAUCUGUCAAACAACAAUUUGACAGGCACAAUUCCAGAUACUCUUUCGCAAUUACCUUUGUUGAAGAUUUUAGAUUUGUCAGGAAAUCAGCUCAGUGGCUCGAUUCCCUCUGGAAUUCUCAAAAAAGUUCAAGAUGGCUCCCUAAAUCUAAGCAGAUAUGGCAACAACUCAAACCUUUGCACCAAUGCCAAUUCAUGUCAACCUGCUAAAAUGAAGAGCAAGCUGCCCAUAUACGUUGGUGCCCCUACAGUUGCCAUCAUGACGAUAGUAUCAGUGGCACUAAUACUCUUUUGCUUGUUGAGACGAAAAACUCGAGGAUUAAUGAAAAACUCUGUAAAGCCACAAAAUGAAACGAGAAAUGAUGGGGACACAUCACUUGGACUUGAGACUCGCCGAUUCACAUACAAUGAAAUUGAGAGGAUAACGAACAACCUUCAACAAGUGUUGGGAAAGGGAGGAUUCGGUUAUGUCUAUGAUGGCUUCCUGGAGGAUGGCACUCAGGUGGCAGUAAAGAUACGGUCUGAGUCUUCCAACCAAGGUGACAAGGAAUUCCUAGCAGAGGUUCAAAUUUUAACCCGGAUUCAUCACAAGAACCUUGUCUCCUUGAUUGGUUUCUGCAAGGAUGGGGAGCACAUGGCACUUGUCUACGAGUUCAUGUCAGAGGGAACUCUGCAAGAUCACAUUGUAGGAGGAGACCAUAACGCAAGAUGCUUAACCUGGAGACAGAGACUUCAAAUUGCAGUUGAAUCUGCACAAGGACUGGAGUACCUACAUAAGGGGUGCAACCCACCUUUGAUUCACAGGGAUGUGAAGGCCACGAACAUCUUAUUGAACAUGAGGUUGGAGGCCAAGAUCGCCGAUUUUGGAUUAUCCAAAGCUUUCAAUCGCAACAAUGAAAGCCAGGUGUCCACGGAUGUGAUCGUUGGCACACGCGGAUAUAUGGAUCCAGAGUACCAGACAACAGGGAGGCCGACAACCAAGAGUGAUGUGUAUAGCUUUGGCGUCGUGCUGUUGGUGCUUGUCACGGGGAAGCCACCCACCAUGCAUAACCCGCGAAGCAUCAGCAUCAUUGAGUGGGUGCAACAGCGGUUAUCGAAAGGCAACAUCGAAGGCGUGGUGGAUGUGCGCAUGCACGGUGACCACGACAUCAAUGGUAUGUGGAAGGCCGCUGACAUCGCCCUCAAGUGCACUGCACAUGCAUCGGCGCGGCGUCCCAACAUGACCGAUGUUGUAUUGCAACUACAGGAGUGCCUCAAGCUAGAGGAGGACUACGCCGGCGGCAACUCCAACAACUUCUACACUGGCAUCGGCAACAACGACCUGAGCACGAGAAAUGAUUCUUACCCUACUAAUCAGUCCACGAAUGUGAGCCAGAGCAGCACUUCAUUUGAGAAGGAACAUAAUUUUGGGAGGGUGCCAACAAUGGACAACGGUCCUGCUGCCCGAUAA
rnacentral:rRNA from 1 species